AUCCUUUUAUUCUGUCUGUUAGCAAAUGGAUACACUUUCUCUAACGUGCUUGAAAUACGGGGGUGGUGGAGUGUAACGUUUGUGACAGCUGGCCAUUGGUGCUUUCUUCAACAGUUCUUUUAAUAAUGUGAUGCAGUAUCCUAAAAUCUAUCAGUAGAACUCUGGAAACUGAAUAUUUUAAAGACCAUUCUGACUAUUUUAUUUCCUAGGUGAUAAUGCUAAGUUAACAGACUUAUAGUGAACAAAUGAGCUAAUAUAUCAAUGCACCUCCUAGCAUAGUAGGAUCACUGGAGACAGUAAAGUUUGAUUUUGAUAAAUGUUGAUCCUUCUUUUUUUGAGUUGAGUCUCACUGUGUUGCCCAGGCUGGCCUUGAACUCCUUGGCUCAAGUGAUCCUCCUGCCUCAGUCUCCUGGGUAGCUGGGACAAUAGGUGCAUGCUACUGUGCGUGGCUUGACCCUUAUUUCAACUUUGAACCUUAGAGUUUUCUUAGAACACUUUAUAUUCUCCCUUUCUUACUCAGUAAGACCAUUGUGUACUUUUGUUAGCUCUUGAUUAUCUCUGUUGGAGGGGAGGAGAACAGAAAAUUAUUGUACACAGCCA
rnacentral:lncRNA from 1 species